AUUGAACGCUGGCGGCAGGCCUAACACAUGCAAGUCGAGCGGAUGAAGGGAGCUUGCUCCUGGAUUCAGUGGCGGACGGGUGAGUAAUGCCUAGGAAUCUGCCUGGUAGUGGGGGAUAACGUCCGGAAACGGGCGCUAAUACCGCAUACGUCCUGAGGGAGAAAGUGGGGGAUCUUCGGACCUCACGCUAUCAGAUGAGCCUAGGUCGGAUUAGCUAGUUGGUGGGGUAAAGGCCUACCAAGGCGACGAUCCGUAACUGGUCUGAGAGGAUGAUCAGUCACACUGGAACUGAGACACGGUCCAGACUCCUACGGGAGGCAGCAGUGGGGAAUAUUGGACAAUGGGCGAAAGCCUGAUCCAGCCAUGCCGCGUGUGUGAAGAAGGUCUUCGGAUUGUAAAGCACUUUAAGUUGGGAGGGAGGGCAGUAAGUUAAUACCUUGCUGUUUUGACGUUACCAACAGAAUAAGCACCGGCUAACUUCGCG
rnacentral:rRNA from 1 species